rnacentral:rRNA from 1 species
UACGUAGGGUGCAAGCGUUGUCCGGAAUUAUUGGGCGUAAAGAGCUCGUAGGCGGUCUGUUGCGUCGGCUGUGAAAACCCGGGGCUCAACCCCGGGCCUGCAGCCGAUACGGGCAGACUAGAGUUCGGCAGGGGAGACUGGAAUUCCUGGUGUAGCGGUGAAAUGCGCAGAUAUCGGGAGGAACACCGAUGGCGAAGGCAGCACUCUGGGCCGGCACUGACGCUGAGGAACGAAAGCGUGGGGAGCGAACAGG